GGGCCUCUAGCUCAAUCGGUUAGAGCUGCGGACUUUUAAUCCGUAGGUUGUGGGUUCGAGUCCCACGGGGCCCACC
rnacentral:tRNA from 1 species